rnacentral:rRNA from 1 species
UCUAAGUACCCCGAGGAAAAGAAAUCAACCGAGAUUCCCCCAGUAGCGGCGAGCGAACGGGGAGGAGCCCAGAGCCUGAAUCAGCAUGUGUGUUAGUGGAAGCGUCUGGAAAGGCGCGCGAUACAGGGUGACAGCCCCGUACACAAAAGCGCAUGUGCUGUGAGCUCGAUGAGUAGGGCGGGACACGUGGUAUCCUGUCUGAAUAUGGGGGGACCAUCCUCCAAGGCUAAAUACUCCUGACUGACCGAUAGUGAACCAGUACCGUGAGGGAAAGGCGAAAAGAACCCCGGCGAGGGGAGUGAAAAAGAACCUGAAACCGUGUACGUACAAGCAGUGGGAGCACCCUUUGGGUGUGACUGCGUACCUUUUGUAUAAUGGGUCAGCGACUUAUAUUCUG